rnacentral:rRNA from 1 species
GCUUGCUCUCUGGGUGACGAGCGGCGGACGGGUGAGUAAUGUCUGGGAAACUGCCUGAUGGAGGGGGAUAACUACUGGAAACGGUAGCUAAUACCGCAUGACCUCGCAAGAGCAAAGUGGGGGACCUUCGGGCCUCACGCCAUCGGAUGUGCCCAGAUGGGAUUAGCUAGUAGGUGGGGUAAUGGCUCACCUAGGCGACGAUCCCUAGCUGGUCUGAGAGGAUGACCAGCCACACUGGAACUGAGACACGGUCCAGACUCCUACGGGAGGCAGCAGUGGGGAAUAUUGCACAAUGGGCGCAAGCCUGAUGCAGCCAUGCCGCGUGUGUGAAGAAGGCCUUAGGGUUGUAAAGCACUUUCAGCGAGGAGGAAGGGUUCAGUGUUAAUAGCACUGAGCAUUGACGUUACUCGCAGAAGAAGCACCGGCUAACUCCGUGCCAGCAGCCGCGGUAAUACGGAGGGUGCAAGUGUUAAUCGGAAUUACUGGGCGUAAAGCGCACGCAGGCGGUUUGUUAAGUCAGAUGUGAAAUCCCCGAGCUUAACUGGGAACUGCAUUUGAAACUGGCAAGCUAGAGUCUUGUAGAGGGGGGUAGAAUUCCAGGUGUAGCGG